GUGCUCUCCAAGUUUAGCCGUUAUUCACCUCUGCCAAGAGCAUUUUAAAGGCUUAGUAUAAAUCUUGGUAUGUGCCGUUUAAUCCGUGAAAUGUAUGCCUAAUUUUCCUGCGGAAUAUCCGGCAGACACACACCCAGGUGAUUUUUCCCUUCCAGCUGUAGCUUGAUGUAAACCCAGAAUAUUCACUGGCGAUGGCAGCCUGCUGGAUUUCCAUGGAAAUGGCUCCUGCCGGGGGGAAGCCGCAGGCACGGAGUUACAGGGCACCAUCCAGUGAAUGGCAGCUCGAGCUCGUUCAAUAUUUCUUUGUGCUCAUCUCUCAACCCCUGCCUCUCCCCAGCUGGUUUCUGGGCCUCCUCGAGGGCUCCCCAUGUGCCCAGGAGGCUGCCUCAUGCCGCAGUGCCCGGGAGCUGUGCAAAAGGUGCUGGCACGUCCCAGGAAUGGCAGGGGGUUUUCUCCGUCAGCAAGCUGUGCUCAAUGAUCAAUAACACUGCGUGUAUAUUUGGGAAUAGAAAGAGCUCAGCUGACAGUAACGUGCAUUUGUGCAGUAACUUAGUUUCAUUGCAAAAUCCAUCGUAUGCAUAGAUGGUAAUAGAAAAUGUUAUUUAACGGCUAGCAUUGAGUGUGUCAUUUCCAAGUUUAGGUGCAAUUAACUCAGACAACUUACUUUUGGCCUUUUAUUUCUCACUCGUGAAAUCCAAAAUUCUUUGUCAAGUGCAAAGCCAGAGCUCAGCUCUGCCCCGUGGCCUUGCCUGGGCUGUGUGGGGCUGAGCCUCCUGCCCCGUUACCUGGGGUCAGGAGCUGCGCUGUUCCCCAGGUCCAGCCGAGGCUCCAGCUCGGCCCCUGCAGAUUCAGCCAGGAUGGCAAAGCUGCAGGGGCUUGGCAGCAGGAGGGUGGGAGCUCUCCUGUGCACCAAAGGGAGUGUGCUUGGUGUUUGUUACUGACCUUAGCUCUAUUCCCCAUAGCCCCAGGGAGAUAAGUUGAAUUACCUGUCUUGAAUUACCUUACCUGACCAUAACCGAGGACGGGCAGCCUCCCCGCGUCCUCCAGCACAGAGUCGAGGCCAUAGCAGCGCACAGUGGUGGUGCGAUGUGGUGCCUGCACUUUUGGGUGCCUCUGCAGCCUGCUGGGGGUGAGAGGCAGCCCGACAGCACUUCUGAGUGCUGGGGGAGAAGUGAGGAGCCUGGACCCCCGCAGAGGCUGUGCCAUAGCCUCUAGCAGGGAGACUGGGACCAGCAGCAGCUCCCUGCCAGCACGGGUGCACGCAGCAACCCAUCGUGUGUGAGCGAGGAUAAACGCUGCCGUGGCAGGGCCUGGGGAAGAAGCGGGCAAAGUUGGGCUCAGCUGUCCCCCGUGCAGCCGGCCGAGCCUCCUGGCGGUGCUGGGGGAGGCAAAGGGCAGAACCCGCAGAGGGGUCCUGAGGUGACCACUGCUGAGUCCCCUCCUGCAGCACCGUGAGGGCACUGCUCCAGCUGGGAGCAGCGGGCA
rnacentral:lncRNA from 1 species